rnacentral:rRNA from 1 species
GAUUCUGGCUCAGAACGAACGCUGGCGGCGCGUCUUAAGCAUGCAAGUCGAACGGCAAGAGGUAGCAAUACCUCCUAGAGUGGCGGACUGGUGAGUAACACGUGGGUGACAUACCCUUCAGAUGGGGAUAGCUAUUAGAAAUAGUAGAUAAUACCGAAUACGAGCACAGGGGUUAGAGAUCUGUGAGGAAAGGAGCUAAGGCUCCGCUGAAGGAAUGGCCUGCGGCCCAUUAGCUAGUUGGUGAGGUAAGAGCCCACCAAGGCGAUGAUGGGUAUCCGGCCUUAGAGGGUGAACGGACACAUUGGGACUGAGAUACGGCCCAGACUCCUACGGGAGGCAGCAGCUAAGAAUAUUCCGCAAUGGACGAAAGUCUGACGGAGCGACGCCGCGUGGAUGAAGAAGGCCGGAAGGUUGUAAAAUCCUUUUGAAACUGAAGAAUAAGCGUUGUAGGGAAUGACAGCGUGGUGACAGUAGGUUUUGAAUAAGCAACGGCUAAUUACGUGCCAGCCGCCGC